ACAAGCGGUGGAGCAUGUGGUUUAAUUCGAUGAUACGCGAGGAACCUUACCUGGGCUCAAAUGUAUGUUGACGUAUUCUGAAAGGGAUACUUCUUCGGACAAUAUACAAGGUGCUGCAUGGUUGUCGUCAGCUCGUGCCGUGAGGUGUCGGGUUAAGUCCCAUAACGAGCGCAACCCCUAUCAUUAGUUGCCAUCAGGUCAAGCUGGGGACUCUAAUGAAACUGCCUACGCAAGUAGUGAGGAAGGUGGGGAUGACGUCAAAUCAGCACGGCCCUUACGUCCAGGGCUACACACGUGCUACAAUGGCCGGUACAAAGGGCAGCUACCUGGUGACAGGAUGCUAAUCUCAAAAGCCGGUCUCAGUUCGGAUUGCAGUCUGCAACUCGACUGCAUGAAGUUGGAAUCGCUAGUAAUUCGAGAUCAGCAUGCUCGGGUGAAUGCGUUCCCGGGCCUU
rnacentral:rRNA from 1 species